rnacentral:rRNA from 1 species
UGGCGGCGUGCUUACACAUGCAAGUCUUCCGAGAAAGCCUUCUUCGGAAGGCGAGUACAGUGGCGCACGGGUGAGUAACGCGUAGAUAACCUGCCUGGAUGUCUGGGAUAACCCUCCGAAAGGGGGACUAAUACCGGAUACGCUGGUUUGUCACAAGACGAAUCAGGAAAGAUGGCCUCUGAUGUAAGCUAUCGCAUUUUGAGGGGUCUGCGUACCAUUAGCUUGUUGGUGGGGUAACGGCCUACCAAGGCGACGAUGGUUAGCGGGUCUGAGAGGAUGAUCCGUCACACUGGCACUGAAACACGGGCCAGACUCCUACGGGAGGCAGCAGUGAGGAAUAUUGCGCAAUGGGGGAAACCCUGACGCAGCGACACCGCGUGAGUGAGGAAGGCCUUCGGGUCGUAAAGCUCUGUCAGAAGGGAAGAAGUGUUCAACGGUUAAUACCCGUUGGAUUUGACGGUACCUUCAAAGGAAGCACCGGCUAACUCCGUGCCAGCAGCCGCGGUAAUACGGAGGGUGCAAGCGUUGUUCGGAAUCACUGGGCGUAAAGGGCGCGCAGGCGGUUUGUUAAGUCAGAUGUGAAAGCCCACGGCUCAACCGUGGAAGUGCAUUUGAAACUGGCA